CCCACCGUUGAAACGGUGGGCUAUUUUCAUUUAAUCCCUUCGGGAUU
rnacentral:sRNA from 1 species